GAGAAGGGGAGGGAUGGACCUGUCUCCGGUCUGGGGAUUUGCAGCCCCCACCCGAUGAGAGCAGGGGACGGCCGUGAUCAACAACUUAAGAAAAACCAACUAACCAAGAGGAAGAAAAUCUCUAAUUAACCCAGAGAGACAAGCUCUCACUUUGUCCACUGACGGCAAUUAGUCACCUCACUUGGCAUUGUAUCAAAUGAAGAUGUUAACCACAAGGGUAGAUAAGGUAGUUAGGUUUGCUUCAAAAUCUACAGCCCACUCUAGAUUCAACUUUCAUGACCGACAUUUGGAGA
rnacentral:misc_RNA from 1 species